rnacentral:rRNA from 1 species
CCUACGGGAGGCAGCAGUGGGGAAUAUUGGACAAUGGGCGAAAGCCUGAUCCAGUCAUGCCGCGUGUGUGAAGAAGGCCUUCGGGUUGUAAAGCACUUUCAGUGGGGAAGAAAGCCUUGGGGCUAAUACCCUCGAGGAAGGACAUCACCCACAGAAGAAGCACCGGCUAACUCCGUGCCAGCAGCCGCGGUAAUACGGAGGGUGCGAGCGUUAAUCGGAAUUACUGGGCGUAAAGCGCGCGUAGGCGGUCUGAUAAGCCGGUUGUGAAAGCCCCGGGCUCAACCUGGGAACGGCAUCCGGAACUGUCAGGCUAGAGUGCAGGAGAGGAAGGUAGAAUUCCCGGUGUAGCGGUGAAAUGCGUAGAGAUCGGGAGGAAUACCAGUGGCGAAGGCGGCCUUCUGGUCUGACACUGACGCUGAGGUGCGAAAGCGUGGGUAGCAAACAGGAUUAGAUACCCUAGUAGUC